AGCAAAAUGAUGUUGUUCUUUAGUCUGAAACUCGAGAUGUGGAAAUCAUAUAAACAAUGGUCUUCAAAGUUCUGUGAUUGCU